GAGGGACGCAGGAAGGUAGCUCUUCCCGGCUAUGGCUAUGUCGGUUAAGUGUGUAGGGUGGAGUAUAGGCAAAUCCGUACUCCGUGAUGCCUGAGACAUGAUGUGUCCACACCUUGGUGUGGUAAGAGUGAUCCUAUGCUGCCUAGAAAAGCUUCGUGAGCGAGAUAUGAGCCGCCCGUACCCCAAACCGACACAGGUGGAUAGGUAGAGAAUACCAAGGCGAUCGAGAGAAUCGUGGUGAAGGAACUCGGCAAAAUACCCCCGUAACUUCGGGAUAAGGGGGACCUGACACGUAUAAGAGCUUUGCCUCGAAAGCGUUGAGGGUCGCAGAGACCAGGCCCAAGCGGACUGUUUACUAAAAACACAGGUCCGUGCUAAGUCGAAAGACGAUGUAUACGGACUGACUCCUGCCCGGUGCUGGAAGGUUAAGGGAACUGUUAGUCAGUAAUGGCGAAGCGGUG
rnacentral:rRNA from 1 species